rnacentral:rRNA from 1 species
GUCCCAGUUCGGAUUGUAGUCUGCAACCCGACUACAUGAAGCCGGAAUCGCUAGUAAUCGCGGAUCAGAAUGCCGCGGUGAAUACGUUCCCGGGUCUUGUACACACCGCCCGUCACACCAUGGGAGUCGGAAAUGCCCGAAGCCGGUGACCCAACCCGAAAGGGAGGGAGCCGUCGAAGGCAGGUCGGAUGACUGGGGUGAAGUCGUAACAAGGUACC